rnacentral:rRNA from 1 species
GGGCCCGCACAAGCGGUGGAGCAUGUGGUUUAAUUCGAUGAUACGCGAGGAACCUUACCAGGGCUUAAAUGUAGUAUGACCGGCUUGGAAACAGGCCUUCUCUUCGGAGCAGAUUACAAGGUGCUGCAUGGUUGUCGUCAGCUCGUGCCGUGAGGUGUUAGGUUAAGUCCUGCAACGAGCGCAACCCCUAUUCUUAGUUGCCAGCGGUUCGGCCGGGGACUCUAAGAAGACUGCCAGCGCAAGCUGAGAGGAAGGUGGGGAUGACGUCAAAUCAUCACGGCCCUUACGUCCUGGGCUACACACGUGCUACAAUGGCGCAUACAGAGGGCAGCCAACUUGCGAGAGUGAG